GAGAGGGGAAGGAAGCGGGCUUCGAGGCCGGAAGUGGAGUGACGUCACCCGGAAGUGGCCUCUGGCCCAGGCUGUGGUGUUGAUGUUUUCAAGCCUUUAUUGCCUCUGCUGGUAGAGGGGGGACGGCGGAAGAAUGGUGUGCGAAAAAUGUGAAAAGAAACUUGGUACUGUUAUCACUCCAGAUACAUGGAAGGAUGGAGCUAGAAAUACCACAGAAAGUGGUGGAAGAAAACUGAAUGAAAAUAAAGCCUUGACUUCGAAAAAAGCAAGAUUUGAUCCUUAUGGAAAGAAUAAGUUCUCCACUUGCAGAAUCUGUAAAAGUUCUGUACACCAACCAGGUUCUCAUUAUUGCCAGGGCUGUGCCUACAAAAAGGAAGUUGGAACGAUGCAAGACAGAUGAUGAGGAACUCACACUCAAAUAAAAUGCCUGGGAUUUUCAUGGGAAGACCAGCAGAGAAACUCAUGCCUACCCUUCUUCAAUCUUCUCCAUCCUGCCGCGUGCUCUGAGGCUGACAUAUCUGGACUGCACCAGGAGCUCCCUUGAUCCCUGGUCUCCAUGUGGGUUUGAGCACAGGGAAGCCCUGGCAGAGAGCAGAGGCCAAGGAGAAUGAGGUCAGGGUGUGUGCUCCCCUGCGCCCUCUCUGCCAUGAAUUGGAUGCAUCUGUCCACCAAGGUCACUCCUGGCUCCUGGCAGGCAGCCUCUGAUACAGCCUGGAGCCCUCCCAGCUCUCCCUGCUUCCCGACUGCUCUGCUAGCCUGAGUGUGCUACACCAUUCCUUGCUGACUGUCAGAACCUAGUGCUUCUCAAUCUCCUUUUCAUUGUCACUUGCCCAAGAAGUAGCCUUUUCAGACCUGUUAUUCCAAAUCCUCUCCCUGCUUUGAAAUUUUAAAACUAUACAGCUACUAGUUAUCUACCGUAUAUAUCUCUGUGCUGUAUAUAUGAAUACUAUUUUUGCCGUCCCCCCCUCCCCCCAAGAACCAAUUUUCACCCUUUGGGGAUGAUAUUACCCUCAUUAAGAAUGCAUUCCCUAAACCAACUCACAUUUCUGUAAAGAGUUCCUUUAAUGAAUUCUCCUACAUCACCUUAUUUGAG